rnacentral:rRNA from 1 species
CCCUUAGAUGUUCUGGGCCGCACGCGCGCUACACUGAUGCAUGCAGCGAGUUCUAUCCUUGGCCGGAAGGCCUGGGUAAUCUGUGAACGUGCAUCGUGAUAGGGAUAGAUUAUUGCAAUUAUUAAUCUUGAACGAGGAAUUCCUAGUAAACGCAAGUCAUCAGCUUGCAUUGAUUACGUCCCUGCCCUUUGUACACACCGCCCGUCGCACCUACCGAUCGAAGGUAAUGAUGAGCCCUCAGGAUUGUGGCCUCGUCGCGUCAGCGUCUUGGCUGCGAGAAUCUGUGCAAAUCCCUACCUUUAGAGGAAGGUGAAGUCGUAACA